UACAGAGGGGGCAAGCGUUGUUCGGAAUUACUGGGCGUAAAGGGCGCGUAGGCGGCCUGUUAAGUCGAACGUGAAAUCCCCGGGCUCAACCCGGGAACUGCGUCCGAUACUGGCAGGCUUGAAUCCGGGAGAGGGAUGUGGAAUUCCAGGUGUAGCGGUGAAAUGCGUAGAGAUCGGGAAGAACAUCGGUGGCGAAAGCGCUCUGCUGGACUGCAACUGACACUCAGGACGAAAGCGUAGGGGAGCGAAUGGG
rnacentral:rRNA from 1 species